UACCUUUACUGUUGAAAAUUCAGAAACACUUCUAGUUCCUAAUGAAGACUGUCUUUGCUGUGUUUGAGGGGACUGAGACUGGGGUGUCCUACAUAGCACCAAAAACAAAAACAGAGUUUCUCUGCAGCCUGGCUUUUGAACACAGAACAUGGGACAUACGUGGGACUCUCUACACAGGCCAUCAUGCAAUGCUCCACCACUGCAAGCUGACUGAAACACCUUACACUGGAGACCAUAGUAUGUUAUAAAUUGCAGUGUUUUUUACUGUG